rnacentral:rRNA from 1 species
GAUGAACGCUGGCGGCGUGCCUAAUACUUGCAAGUCGAGCGAAUGGAUUAAGAGCUUGCUCUUAUGAAGUUAGCGGCGGACGGGUGAGUAACACGUGGGUAACCUGCCCAUAAGACUGGGAUAACUCCGGGAAACCGGGGCCAAUACCGGAUAACAUUUUGAACCGCAUGGUUCGAAAUUGAAAGGCGGCUUCGGCUGUCACUUAUGGAUGGACCCGCGUCGCAUUAGCUAGUUGGUGAGGUAACGGCUCACCAAGGCAACGAUGCGUAGCCGACCUGGGAGGGUGGACGGCCACACUGGGACUGAGACACGGCCCAGACGCCUACGGGAGGCAGCAGUAGGGAAUCUUCCGAAAUGGACGAAAGUCUGACGGAGCAACGCCGCGCGAGUGAUGAAGGCUUUCGGGUCGUAAAACUCUGUUGUUAGGGAAGAACAAGUGCUAGUUGAAUAAGCUGGCACCUUGACGGUACCUAACCAGAAAGCCACGGCUAACUACGUGCCAGCAGCCGCUGUAA